rnacentral:rRNA from 1 species
UGGGGAAUAUUGGACAAUGGGCGAAAGCCUGAUCCAGCCAUGCCGCGUGUGUGAAGAAGGUCUUCGGAUUGUAAAGCACUUUAAGUUGGGAGGAAGGGCCAUUACCUAAUACGUGAUGGUUUUGACGUUACCGACAGAAUAAGCACCGGCUAACUCUGUGCCAGCAGCCGCGGUAAUACAGAGGGUGCAAGCGUUAAUCGGCAUUACUGGGCGUAAAGCGCGCGUAGGUGGUUUGUUAAGUUGGAUGUGAAAUCCCCGGGCUCAACCUGGGAACUGCAUUCAAAACUGACUGACUAGAGUAUGGUAGAGGGUGGUGGAAUUUCCUGUGUAGCGGUGAAAUGCGUAGAUAUAGGAAGGAACACCAGUGGCGAAGGCGACCACCUGGACUAAUACUGACACUGAGGUGCGAAAGCGUGGGGAGCAAACAGGAUUAGAUACCCAUGUAGUCCCUGAGCGGGCUGGCAAGGCGCAU